rnacentral:rRNA from 1 species
UACGGAGGGGGCUAGCGUUGUUCGGAAUUACUGGGCGUAAAGCGCGCGUAAGCGGCUUUGUAAGUUAGAGGUGAAAGCCCGGAGCUCAACUCCGGAAUUGCCUUUAAGACUGCAUCGCUAGAAUCAUGGAGAGGUUAGUGGAAUUCCGAGUGUAGAGGUGAAAUUCGUAGAUAUUCGGAAGAACACCAGUGGCGAAGGCGACUAACUGGACAUGUAUUGACGCUGAGGUGCGAAAGCGUGGGGAGCAAACAGG